ACGCGACCCCAGGUCAGGCGGGACCACCCGCUGAGUUUAAGCAUAUCAAUAAGCGGAAGAA
rnacentral:rRNA from 1 species